rnacentral:rRNA from 1 species
AGCUCAAAUUUAAAAUCUGGCAGUCUUUUUGGCUGUCCGAGUUGUAAUUUGGAGAAGAUGCUUCGGGUGUGGCCCCGGUCUAAGUUCCUUGGAACAGGACGUCACAGAGGGUGAGAAUCCCGUACGUGCCCGGUGGCCGCGCCCGUGUGAAGCUCUUUCGAC